rnacentral:rRNA from 1 species
GACGAACGCUGGCGGCGUGCCUAAUACAUGCAAGUCGAGCGGACGAUUCGAAAGCUUGCUUUUGAAUCGUUAGCGGCGGACGGGUGAGUAACACGUGGGCAACCUGCCCUGUAGACGGGGAUAACACCGAGAAAUCGGUGCUAAUACCGGAUAACACGAAAUGUCGCAUGACGUUUCGUUGAAAGGCGGCGCAAGCUGCCGCUACAGGAUGGGCCCGCGGCGCAUUAGCUAGUUGGUGAGGUAACGGCUCACCAAGGCGACGAUGCGUAGCCGACCUGAGAGGGUGAUCGGCCACACUGGGACUGAGUCACGGCCCAGACUCCUACGGGAGGCAGCAGUAGGGAAUCUUCCGCAAUGGACGAAAGUCUGACGGAGCAACGCCGCGUGAGCGAAGAAGGCCUUCGGGUCGUAAAGCUCUGUUGUUAGGGAAGAACAAGUAACGUAGUAACUGACGUUACUAUGACGGUACCUAACGAGAAAGCCACGGCUAACUACGUG